AGACCCGAAACCCGGUGAUCUAGCCAUGGGCAGGUUGAAGGUUGGGUAACACUAACUGGAGGACCGAACCGACUAAUGUUGAAAAAUUAGCGGAUGACCUGUGGCUGGGGGUGAAAGGCCAAUCAAACCGGGAGAUAGCUGGUUCUCCCCGAAAGCUAUUUAGGUAGCGCCUCGUGAAUUCAUCUCCGGGGGUAGAGCACUGUUUCGGCUAGGGGGCCAUCCCGGCUUACCAACCCGAUGCAAACUGCGAAUACCGGAGAAUGUUAUCACGGGAGACACACGGCGGGUGCUAACGUCCGUCGUGAAGAGGGAAACAACCCAGACCGCCAGCUAAGGUCCCAAAGUCAUGGUUAAGUGGGAAACGAUGUGGGAAGGCCCAGACAGCCAGGAUGUUGGCUUAGAAGCAGCCAUCAUUUAAAGAAAGCGUAAUAGCUCACUGGUCGAGUCGGCCUGCGCGGAAGAUGUAACGGGGCUAAACCAUGCACCGAAGCUGCGGCAGCGACACUCAGGUGUUGUUGGGUAGGGGAGCGUUCUGUAAGCCUGUGAAGGUGUGUCGUGAGGCAUGCUGGAGGUAUCAGAAGUGCGAAUGC
rnacentral:rRNA from 1 species